UCAUUCUGAGUCUGAUCCAAAACCCACUGAUGUCAAUGGGAAUCUUUCCACUGAUGUCAAUGGGCUUUGAAUCAGAGCCUCUUUCAGG
rnacentral:pre_miRNA from 1 species